AAAACGGCCCUUUUCAGGGCCACCAUUUCGAUUUCGGGAUAAGAACU
rfam:Anopheles epiroticus strain epiroticus2 unplaced genomic scaffold supercont1.927, whole genome shotgun sequence.